AUAAAUAAAGCUAAACCUAUUGAAAGGUAGGGACAGAAAGUUACGGUUCCAAAACGGAAAGCCGGACUGCCGAAG
rnacentral:ncRNA from 1 species